rnacentral:rRNA from 1 species
AAAAAAGGUAAGCUACUAAGAGCGAAUGGUGGAUGCCUUGACUGGUAAAGGCGAUGAAGGACGUACUAGACUGCGAUAAGCUACGGGGAGCUGUCAAGAAGCUUUGAUCCGUAGAUUUCCGAAUGGGGCAACCCAAUGUAUAGAGAUAUACAUUACCUAUAUAGGAGCGAACGAGGGGAAUUGAAACAUCUUAGUACCCUCAGGAAAAGAAAUCAAUAGAGAUUGCGUCAGUAGCGGCGAGCGAAAGCGCAAGAGGGCAAACCCAGUGCUUGCACUGGGGGUUGUAGGACUGCAAUGUGCAAGAGGUAAGUUUAGCAGAACAUUCUGGAAAGUAUAACCAUAGAGGGUGAUAGUCCCGUAUGCGAAAAACAAACCUUAGCUAGCAGUAUCCUGAGUAGGGCGGGACACGAGGAAUCCUGUCUGAAUCCGGGUCGACCACGAUCCAACCCUAAAUACUAAUACCAGAUCGAUAGUGCACAAGUACCGUGAGGGAAAGGUGAAAAGAACUGAGGUGAUCAGAGUGAAAUAGAACCUGAAACCAUUUGCUUACAAUCAUUCAGAGCCCUAUGUAGCAAUACAGGGUGAUGGACUGCCUUUUGCAUAAUGAGCCUGCGAGUUGUGGUGUCUGGCAAGGUUAAGCAAACGCGAAGCCGUAGCGAAAGCGAGUCUGAAUAGGGCGCUUAGUCAGAUGCUGCAGACCCGAAACGAAGUGAUCUAUCCAUGAGCAAGUUGAAGCUAGUGUAAGAACUAGUGGAGGACUGAACCCAUAGGCGUUGAAAAGCCCCGGGAUGACUUGUGGAUAGGGGUGAAAGGCCAAUCAAACUUCGUGAUAGCUGGUUCUCUCCGAAAUAUAUUUAGGUAUAGCGUUGUGUCGUAAUAUAAGGGGGUAGAGCACUGAAUGGGCUAGGGCAUACACCAAUGUACCAAACCCUAUCAAACUCCGAAUACCUUAUAUGUAAUCACAGCAGUCAGGCGGCGAGUGAUAAAAUCCGUCGUCAAGAGGGAAACAACCCAGACUACCAGCUAAGGUCCCUAAAUCUUACUUAAGUGGAAAACGAUGUGAAGUUACUUAAACAACCAGGAGGUUGGCUUAGAAGCAGCCAUCCUUUAAAGAAAGCGUAAUAGCUCACUGGUCUAGUGAUUUUGCGCGGAAAAUAUAACGGGGCUAAAGUAAGUACCGAAGCUGUAGACUUGCACACAACUUAGAUUAUUUAAGUUUAGAAUAUGAGAAACUAAGUUAUAUGUUUAGUUAUAUUUUUACUGAUUUUUAUAGAGUAAAGAUAGAAAUAAAACUUAGUAAAAUCAGUAAAAAUAUUCUUAGACUAAAGUUAAGUAGUUUAAGUUGUGUGCAAGUGGUAGGAGAGCGUUCUAUUUGCGUCGAAGGUAUACCGGUAAGGAGUGCUG